rnacentral:rRNA from 1 species
UACGUAGGGCGCAAGCGUUGUCCGGAAUUAUUGGGCGUAAAGAGCUCGUAGGCGGUGCCGCACGUCCGAUGUGAAAGCCCAGGGCUCAACCCUGGACGUGCAUUGGAUACGACGGCGCUGGAGUCCUGAAGAGGAGGGCGGAAUUCCCGGUGUAGAGGUGAAAUUCGUAGAUAUCGGGAGGAACACCAGUGGCGAAGGCGGCUCUCUGGACAGGUACUGACGCUGAGACGCGAAAGCGUGGGUAGCAAACAGG